GGGCUCGCGCGGCGCUCCGGGGUUAAAGGGACCGGCACGGAGCUCGUGCUGCCUUGGGAGCUGGGGGCGCGGCCAGGGACCCGCACCGAGUUCUCGGGGCCUCGGGAAGCUUGCGGGCGGACCUGGUCUGUCUGGGCAACCGGUAGAAUGAGAACGGCCUGUUCGGGGGCUCCUACAGGCGGUGCCUGCCCGCCGAGGUGAGGCGGCCGGGCUGGGUGGGGGUGAGGUCCCAGGGGACUUUGGGGCCCAUAGACGGGCCGCUGCGAGGCGGGGUCCCAGAGAGGUCCCAGGCCAACGCAGGGCUGAGGGAGCCCGGGCCGGAUAAAUCUUGGAGGGGCCUGGCGUUGAACAGAAGGACGGGUUAGGGAUCCAAAGGGCAAAGUUCCUCAGUUUUCCAGGGCAUCUCCCACCUCUUUCCUGCUAGUGACUUACUAGGUAUUUUCAACUUUAGUGUGUAAUUAUGCAAACUAAAAAGUCUACAUGGAUUCUCCUUAUCCAGUCCUGAGCUCAGUCCCUUCCUCAGAGGUAACCCUUGGCAGCCGCAGGACCUGGUUUCCCCACGGCUUUUCCCAUGUGUCUAAGUACGUCUUUUCUAACCUGGACAACUUUCCAAAGCUUCUUGGAGUCCUUUCAGCUUCUGCAAUGGGAUUUCCUGAGACAAUGGAGUAAAGAGUGGGCCACUUGACAGCUAGCUGUUCUUAUUUUGUUCCUGCCGGAAAGAAAAAAGAUCCAAGCUGCUGAGAACAGGAGUUUCAGAAAAAUGAGAUAUUAUAUCCCAUGUGAUUCAAAUGUAUGAUAUGUCAAGGUCAUUGUACUGUCAUGUGUAACUAAUUAAAACAAACAAACAAACAAAAUAGAAUGAAGAAAACUGUAAUUUCCAAUGAAAUACUCUCUCCUAGCAGGUUUUUGCAAUCUCAGCACUAAUAUCAUCCUUCUCCUCAGUCCUGACAAUCAAAGCUGCCUCCAGUCUUGGCCAGAAGUUCCCUGGGGAGCAAAAUCACUUUCAGUUGAUUACUGCUUUAAUCCUAUACUUCCCAGAAGUAACUGCUUUUGAAGCUCCGACCACACACAUAGAUGGUCUUGUUCCAUUCCAAUGGACCACUGGCUCCUCUAUGCUGGCUGUCCUAAUUGUCACCUGCCUUCGGGUCUGAGCUCAGUCA
rnacentral:lncRNA from 1 species